UCUCCAUUUGCCCACCUAGGCGUUUCAGCCGGGCACCUUGAGUCGAGCCGCGCGCCGGGCCCCGCAGCGCCAAGCCCUAGGAGCACUGGGCAGGCGCCGAAGAGCGGCCCGAGGCGGCACACGUGAAAGGUGCCCGUCUCGCGGUGCUGGCCAAAGCUCCGCCAAUCUGCGGGAGCCCCUUCCAUCCGCACUCGAAAAUCAAGCGCGACAAUAUCGGGGCACACCGGUCGGCGAAACUCUGGCUCCUUGCUGGCGCAACCGGAAGCACCGACGGGCCGGAAGGCCCCUCAAGCUGACCACCCCUGACCCGUUGGCACGGGCGGCUGGCGAGAGGGCGCUGACCAGCCCGGUCGCCCGGAACGCGAAUCCAGUCACGCU
rnacentral:rRNA from 1 species